rnacentral:SRP_RNA from 1 species
GUUGGAUGUGGUGGCAUGUGCCUGUAGGCUCAGCUGAGGUGGAAGGAUCUCUUGAGCCCGGGAAUUUUGGAGGGUAGCACACUAUGUGCUACAUAUGGAUUGAGUGUCUGCACUAAAUUCAGCAUCAAUAGGGUAUCCUGGGAGUAGGGGACUAACAGGUUGCCUGAGGAGGGGUGAACUGGUCCAGGUUGGCAACAGAGCAGGUUAAAACUCCCAUGCUGAGCAAUAGUGGGAUAGCCACUGCACUCCAGCCUGGACAACAUUUAAGGUGACCCUGUUUCUU